GCACUUUUUAUGAAACUAAAAAACAAGAUAAACACUACUCCUGCAGAUAUUAUUCGGCAAAAAUAAUAUCUUUUUAAAGUGAAAUGACAUCCCAUUAUAUUUAAAAGAAUACUCAUACAGCCCACAUUAGUCUUUUCCCAGAUUUUAUUGCGUGGGAGGUAUACACUUAAUAUGAUUUCUGCUCUUGCAACUGAAGAGAAUAUUAGGUAGUUUUUUUUACAUGUUAGGGCACUUUAAGACUAUCUGGGUGAUUAACAGUACCCCAUGUGACUCAUUAGACAUCUCUCGGUGUUGUCCUAAUGGACUCCUCUGUCUUCUGUGAAGGUAAUUAACAAAGAAACAAUGCAGAAAGAGGAUUUUUCACCCAUGUUGAUUGGUUGCACAGGUGAGCACCUCCAUUAACCUUCCCACUCGAAUGUGAUAAAAUACAGAUUCAUUGAGCAACCUGUGAAAUGAGAAACAGUUUAAUUAGUGAGAUAGAUACGCAUUUGCAGGGAGACUUAUUUACAUAGUGUGCGCACUCGAUUCAACAAGAGCACAGUCGCAUAUCUUAAAAGCAGCAAAUGAUGGGAUUCUGAAAUGUUUUUAAUUACCAAUUAAUCAAAUAUUAGGGUAGAUUUCUCAAUUUCACCACUACAUAAAAAAAAAAAAUUAUAAAAUAAAUGUUGGAGGGGAAAAAAGUGAUUAAUGUAAGAAAACAAAAUUCCAAAAACUACUAGAUUAAUGAUUCAUCUCUAAUAAAUAUAAUUACAUGUGGAGUGGCAAACUGUAAUAUAGGAUUACAUGCAAGUUAUAAUAUUUGCAUACACAAUGAACUAUGAAGAUAUGUACAGCCCUUUUCGCACAUUGUCCCACAAUUUUAUUUGGUUUCUUGAGGCCGUGUGUCAUUGCAUCAUUCGAUCAUGUAAAAAGAGCUAAAGUAAAGGUCUGGUUCACGGUGCCCCAUUUGCAGUUUGAUUCUGUUGCUGCUAUCUCUCAACAUGAGGAUCUUAGAUGUGUCAGGGCCAACAAAUUAUGAGAGCUCACAAUAAGCGUUUUGGGAGAUCGGCCGUCUCCCACAUUCACCAGGCCACUAGUAAUACUAGGCCGCGUGUUCGGACAGCGGAUUUCCACAAUGCAGGUCAAGAUAAAGGACACCCUGAAGUGCCCACUCACUUUAGUAUGGUUUCACCAUGUGCUCCAGGCUGAGUUUCAGUCGAUUUUAGUGAAGGUGCAGGUUUAACUCAGAUGUGCAGGAGCUGGUAACAAACACGACUGGCCAUCUUGGCAGUCAGUCCCUUUCCCCCUUUUAUAGACUUUUAAAGUUUGAUAAGUAAAAAAUAGCAAAUGAACUAACAGAGCAAGAAAUAAAUGUUUAAUGGAUCACCUAAUAAUGUUUAGAAUACAAAAGGAAAAAUAAACUUUUUCAACUGAGAAAUAGUUUGUUUUCUGCAGAAUGCAUGCAAUACAAUUUUCAGAACAUCAAGCCAUGUAUAAAGUACGGUAAUAGUAAUAAUGUGUCUUGUCCAGAGUUAUUAUGAUCUCUUAAUAAAAUGUAUAGUUUCAACAGAAUCCACAGAACUGCAUACACUUAGUAAGAAGUAUUAAAAAAAAGCUCAGUAAUAUGCAUUGUUCCCAGUCUGAUGAAAGUCAAAGUAAAAAUAAGAGAAAAUGAUCUCAUUGAUAAGCUCACAGCUAUGAUACAUAACACUAUGCAGGCAGUCGGUUUGGGCCCCAUAGGAGAAGAUGAAGGGUAAGACAGUGGUUUCAAAACCGGUCCUAAAGGCAUUUCUAGGACCGGUUUGGAAAUUACCCAAUUGUGCCAAGGUGUUUUUUUUUAGUUUGUUUUGUUUUUAAAACACCUUAGAUAUAACUGGGUUAUCCCUUAAUCCCGGACUGGUAGGCGUGCCGUAAGGACUGGUUUGGAAACCACUAGGUUAAGAAGAGAGUGAAAUUGAAAUUAAGCAGUCACUGGUCUCGCCGUGGGAUUUCUUCCUUUUCUUUUCAAUGUAAUUUUUAAUUACUACCUUUAAAGAGGGUAUUUUAUGGGGUAUACAUGGUUUGCCGUCUUGAUAAGAAGUCUCCCUCCCCGUAUUGGGGACACUUUCCUGGACACACAACCACAUCGGCACUUAGGAGCAGUCCUAAACAGAUUUUAUAAUCUUCAUUGAGGAUGAUGGAGUUUCACUCAUGUCAUGUCAAUAUAUAUGUGUGUACCAUUGUUACAUUUUUUAUAAUGUGCAUGUAUAUGCCCUUUCAAGACUAUGCAUGAUGUAUGUCUAGUUUUUUUUUCUUGAAUUAAGCUUUAAUUUGUUCUGUUUAAUUGGAAAAUGGGUACAGUAACAUGGCGAACUGUCUGAUAUGGUUUGCUAGAUGAAGAAUUGAAAUUUUCUUAUAUUGAUUUAUACUUUAUAGUAGUGAUUAUAGUAGAUUUUAAGAGCACUAACUGCAGACAUAUGAUCUAAACAAUUAAGUAGAAUCUUACAAAAGGAAUUGGUUCAUACAAGGUUCUACUGUUCUGCAGAGAUUCUGUUUAUCACAAACAGUCACUGGUGUAUUUAAGAUAUGUUGUUUCAGUUUAUCAGAAUUAAUCUGGCUAUCAAAGUAUUGUCAAGUAAAAUGGCUGGUCCAGAAACAUUACUGCCACUCAACUGACAUGGGCACCUUGUGGGCAUCACAACAUUUUUCACCACAGCAUUGUGAUUCUCCAAAUUCCAUCAUACUAAAUGGACCAAGUUGAAUGAAACUGCUGCCAGGUAAUAUUAACCUGAUAAUGCUACAACAAAUGCAAAGAUACAAUGAUUGCUCAACUAUGAACUAGUUUUUAGCAGAAAAAGAAGUGCAUUCUUGCCACAACAUGUUUUUAUUAUCAGCCAAGAGCCCGUGCGAUGGUGAACACAGUACAGUCAAAGUUUCCUAAUGAUCUGUUUGCGUGAGAUUCAACACUGUUUCAAAACGCUGAAACUUUAACCCUUCUUUUAAUCCAAAUUGAAUGAACAAAAAUUCUCCUUUAACAUCUUGACCAGAAUUUAAAGGGUUAUUUUCUGAAACUGCGCUAGGGUGCACAGUGCACCAUACCCUAUAAUCAGGCAUGAAAUUAAAUAAUGUGAGUUAUUUCUGUGGUUAUAUGGGUUGGCAAGUACUAAUUAUUAUAGUAACAAGGAGGGGGUCUACAGUGCCAACAUAAGUGAAACUUCUCUUAAUUUCUUAUUUACAUAUUGGAGUGCGCUCACAAAUCUGUCUCUGUAUAGGCUUUGUUGCCAUGACGACUGUUCCCAUUAUGAAAGGAAAAUAAAAUGUAGGGCAGCUGUUACAAGCAGAUACUCGGGCCUUGUUACAAUAAGUAUUCAGCCACUUGUGUUGAGCAGGUGUGCAGCAGAGUUUCAAAGGGAGAUGCACAAUGACUGUGUGAGACUCUGCACAUUAAGAGCACUGCGCACCAGGCAUAAAAGGACAAAAUAUUAAUAUAUAACAAAGUUGCAAGAGCAAAACACAGACAUGUGCGUGAUUGUCGGGAUUUAAAUCCAGAGCUACGGCAUAGAUGUCACUGUUUAUUAUGUAGGAUUAACAUUCGCUAUCUUGAAGAGUAAGGAUUAUUAAUAGGAACAAAAAAAAAGAAAAGAUAUCAAUCAUCGAAAUAAAUAAAAAAGUUUGUUUAAAAAAAUAUAAAUAUUUAUAUAAAAUGCAUGAAGACACUUUGGAGGGUUUUUUUGUGAUUGUACUGCAUUGAUUGUUAUUUUAAUAUUGAAUAUUUUGGUCCCUGAGGAAGUCCCAUAUUCUGUAGAAGGGACGAAACGCGUAGGACCUUUAUCUGUAUCUAUUUUAUAUUUUUAAACAAUUAAAGCCGCUUUUUUCAUAUCUUCACCUGGAGUCCUGCAUUUUGAGUGGAAGUGUCCAGGGGAUUUCUCUAGCCCCCCUUAUCAUCAGGGGUGGCACCAUAUAUGCCUGAACUGUCCAAUAUCCUGUGAGUGCAUUUCAUAUUGCGCAGUAUUAAUAUUUUAAAACUGUAUUACACUAUACCUCUUUUUAUUUAUCUUCAUUUAGACAAUCAGCCGGUUCCCUCGUUGUGUUUUGUAUACUUUGGAGGGUUUGCAUGGGGGCUUAAUCUAUGCAACACAACAGAACUGAUAUACAUAGAAUUCUCAUUUAUAGUAAAUAAGAGGACUGCUAAAUUAUAUUUAUUGAACAACUUCUCUCCACAGACACAGGUUUUAUUCAAUUCAUUCUUCAUUAAUGAAGUAUCCAAUGAUAAAACAAAUAUAAAGUAAAGAUGCACCUCAGUGAUUGAAGUAUAUGGGUUCGCAUAGGUACAUCUCAAUGUACAGAGUCAUAUGGUCCCAAAACUGAUACAUUGGCAUCAUCAUUCCAAUAAUGAUAUCAAGUGGAACUCCAUUUCAAUAGUUUGUGUACUGUGGACAUUAGACGUUUGCACAAAUGCGUUUCAGCAGGUAUGAACGAAACAAAUGCCUUUUCAUUUACGCCUGAACAAAUUGGUCUGUCGGGAUUUCCUCAUUGAACAAGACUCCACAGAUAAAUACAGAUGGAUUGAUCAGUUCUGGUGCAGAUAGAAAGUCUUUGAUUCGUUUCUAUCACCAGACAAUCCUUGGUCUAGUGGACAUUAAAGCAUAAGUGGUAAAGAAUCUUGUUCCACAGAGGGCAUAAUUUAGGGCACAUCCACCAUGUGUUAAAAUAUGUACUAGGAGGCCUUUUCUACAGCUCGCUGUGUGAUAAACUGUAUAAUUUCCAGUGAUUUACGUGCACAUGCAUUUUCUUUCUUUGUUUAGAAUUACACUUUAAAAACAGAUUAAAUGAGAAAUAUUUAUUAAAACACACACACAUUCGCCUACCUCACAUUGUGUUUAACCUACAUAGUGCAAGGCAAGCUGCCAGCAAAUAUACUGAUAAACUAUUAUUUCUUUGCUUUGGUUUUUGCCUUCACAGUAUGCUCUCAGCAUCUUUUAAUUCCAACAACAAGUUGCAAUAACAUUGGAAUGACAUAUCUAACAACCGCACAUUAGUUUUGAGUCAACUGAGAUCUUUCUUUCACUCUAAGUAUAGGGUUGGUGAAUGAGUCCAUGGUUGGCUAAGCAUCUCUAUGAUGUCCUGGUACCCAGUGGCACAUUUAGGUUUUGUGCUGCCCUAGUGGUACCCAUCAGACUCCUAAACCAUAAACGCUAGGAUAGGUCACCUUAGGUCAAUCCAGCUAUAACCGUUCAACAUGUCUCAGACUCAAGGAUAUCUGAUUCAGGGCUUUUUACCAUGACAACUGGGUUAUAUGGUAAUGUUUGAGACUGAUCUCUGUGCCCUUAACCAAUAUUAACAAUUCCUUAAAGAAACAUUUCAAUGUUAAAAAAACAAACAAAAAAAACAGUUUAGUACAUAUACCCCCAAUAAAAACAGGUAUGCAUUUAAUUGUGACUUUAGGGGGUGGGGGGGAGUGUAUAGAAAAACAGAUUGCAUAAGAUAUAGAUCUCUUGCGUGCAAUCCCGAUAGGCAAAUACCCCAAUAUCAUAACCAGGCAGCAUUUUCAAACUUGUAUCACUUGAUGCCAGCCAACCUUAGUUUGGGAGAAUGGGACUUAUUAUCUCAUCAUGAAACAUGUCAAAGCAGGGCAUGAACAGGAGAGAAAAAGCUGUGAAAAAGUAUUCACAUUCCUCUGUGUUUCCUGGAUUAUUCUGAAACUUGAAAUGAGUGUAUAAAGAAUGCAGUGGCUGCAUUAUAAUUGUCAUUAUUAUUAUUAUUAUUACUACGGAGAUGAUAGCCUGACUUUGCUCUAUUUAUUAAUUAUUGUUAUUAUGAUGAUGGAGAUAGCAUGACUAUGCACUAAUUAUUAAUUAUUGUUAUUAUUAUGAUGGAGAUAGCCUGACCUUGCUCUAUUUAUUAAUUAUUGUUAUUAUUAUGAUGGAGAUAGCCUGACUAUGCCCUAAUUAUUAAUUAUUGUUAUAAUUAUGAUGGAGAUGGUCUGACCUUGCUAUAAUUAUUAAUUAUUGUUAUAAUUAUGAUGGAGAUUGUGUGACCUUGCUCUAAUUAUUAAUAAUUAUUAUUAUUAAUAUUAUUAUGAUGGAGAUGGUCUGACCUUGCUCUCUAUAUUAAUUAAUUAUUAUUAUUAUGAUGGAGAUGGUCUGACAUUGCUCUAUAUAUUAUUAUUUGUAGUAUUAUUAUUAUUAUUAUUAUGAUGAUGAUGAUGGAGAUGGUCUGACAUUGCUCUAAUUAUUAAUUAUUAAUUAUUAUUGUUAUUAUUAUUGUUAUUAUGAUGGAGAUGGUCUGACCUUGCACUAAUUAUUAAUUAUUAUUAUUAUGAUGGAGAUGGUCUGACAAUGCUCUAUAUAUUAAUUAAUCUUAUUAUUAUUAUGAUGGAGAUGGUCUGACAUUGCUCUAUAUAUUAAUUAAUCUUAUUAUUAUGAUGGAGAUGGUCUGACAUUGCUCUAUAUAUUAAUUAUUAUUGUUAUUAUUGUGAUGGAGAUGGUCUGACCUUGCUCUAUAUUAUUAUUAUUAUUAUGAUGGAGAUGGUCUGACAUUGCUCUAUAUAUUAAUUAUUAUUAUUAUUAUUAUUAUGAUGGAGAUGGUCUGACAUUGCUCUAUAUAUUAAUUAUUAUUAUUAUUAUUAUUAUGAUGAUGGAGAUGGUCUGACCUUGCUCUAUAUAUUAAUUAUUAUUAUUAUUAUUGUGAUGGAGAUGGUCUGACCUUGCUCUAUAUAUUAAUUAUUAUUAUUAUUAUUAUUGUUAUGAUGGAGAUGGUCUGACCUUGCUCUAUAUAUUAAUUAUUAUUAUUAUUAUUAUUAUUAUUAUGAUGGAGAUGGUCUGACCUUGCACUAGGACUCACAGAGCAGCUGCUCCUGCAUCCCACGAGCUGUCACCAUUUGCUGCGUCCUGAUUGGCCG
rnacentral:lncRNA from 1 species